GUCGUCAUAGCUCAAUUGGAAGAGCAACUUUUCUUUUAAUCCUUUCUUAUAGUAGGUUCCCGGUUCGAAUCCGGGCGGCGACU
rnacentral:tRNA from 1 species